UAACCUUUUUAAAAAUUCUCAAGAAUAGGAACUUAGGCAACAUAAAAAUUUAUCAAUGUAUUUCACAGAUAAAGAUUGGGAAGAUAUAAAAAAGAUGCCUGAACAUUCAACAUUAAUGAAAGAUUUCAGAAGAAAUACGUAUACCAACUGCAGCCUUAUCAAGUAUAUGGAAAAACAUAAAGUUAAACCAGAUAGUAAAGCAUUCCACUUGCUUCAGAAGUUGCUCACCAUGGACCCCAUAAAGCGAAUUACCUCAGAACAGGCUAUGCAGGAUCCCUAUUUCUUAGAAGACCCACUUCCUACAUCAGACGUUUUUGCCGGUUGUCAAAUCCCUUACCCAAAACGAGAAUUUUUAACGGAAGAAGAACCUGAUGACAAAGGAGACAAAAAGAACCAGCAGCAGCAGCAGGGCAAUAACCACACUAAUGGAACUGGCCACCCAGGGAAUCAAGACAGCAGUCACACACAGGGACCCCCGUUGAAGAAAGUGAGAGUUGUUCCUCCUACCACUACCUCAGGUGGACUUAUCAUGACCUCAGACUAUCAGCGUUCCAAUCCACAUGCUGCCUAUCCCAACCCUGGACCAAGCACAUCACAGCCGCAGAGCAGCAUGGGAUACUCAGCUACCUCCCAGCAGCCUCCACAGUACUCACAUCAGACACAUCGGUACUGAGCUGCAUCGGAAUCUUGUCCAUGCACUGUUGCGAAUGCUGCAGGGCUGACUGUGCAGCUCUCCGCGGGAACCUGGUAUGGGCCAUGAGAAUGUACUGUACAACCACAUCUUCAAAAUGUCCAGUAGCCAAGUUCCACCACUUUUCACAGAUUGGGGUAGUGGCUUCCAAGUUGUACCUAUUUUGGAGUUAGACUUGAAAAGAAAGUGCUAGCACAGUUUGUGUUGUGGAUUUGCUACUUCCAUAGUUUACUUGACAUGGUUCAGACUGACCAAUGCAUUUUUUUCAGUGACAGUCUGUAGCAGUUGAAGCUGUGAAUGUGCUAGGGGCAAGCAUUUGUCUUUGUAUGUGGUGAAUUUUUUCAGUGUAACAACAUGAUCUGACCAAUAUGUACACACACAGACACAAAGUUUAACUGGUACUUGAAACAUACAGUAUAUGUUAACGAAAUAACCAAGACUCAAAAUGAGAUUAUUUUGGUACACCUUUCUUUUUAGUGUCUUAUCAGUGGGCUGAUUCAUUUUCUACAUUAAUCAGUGUUUUCUGACCAAGAAUAUUGCUUGGAUUUUUUUGAAAGUACAGAAAGCCACAUAGUUUUUCCAGAAAGGUUUCAAAACUCCCAAAGAUUAACUUCCAACUUAUAAGUUUGUUUUUAUUUUCAAUCUAUGACUUGACUGGUAUUAAAGCUGCUAUUUGAUAGUAAUUAAAUAUGUUGUCAUUGAUAUAAACCUGUUUGGUUCAGCAAACAAACUAAAAUGAUUGUCAUAGACAGUGUUUUAUUUUUCCUGUUGGUGUUGCUGAUUUGUGAGCAUGCUUUAAGAUGAAAAAAGCAUGAAUGAUAACUUCCUUAAAAAGGUGCGGCAUCCAAUUCAAAUAUUUUUGUCCUGAUUUUAAAGCUGGUUGGUGUAGUGCUAUUAAAAUUUCGUUCAGUUAAUUUUCCUUUUGAAAACUUGUUCGCACGUUGUUUAGGGUGCCCUUACUUCAGCAAAGGAGAAGGAGUAGGAGAGCCUUAGAAUUUUUGAGGAAAAAAAAACCUAUAACAUACAAUGUACUGUAUCAAACUAUUUUACAUGAAUGACACAAGUAUUCUGAAUAAAAAA
rnacentral:sRNA from 1 species